GGCUUUGUGCAGUGGCAGUAUCAUAGCCAAUGAGGUUUAUCCAAGACGCGAUUAUUGCUAAUAGAAAUUAAG
rnacentral:snRNA from 1 species